rnacentral:rRNA from 1 species
UACCAGCACCCCGAGUGGUCGGGACGAUUAUUGGGCCUAAAGCAUCCGUAGCCGGUCCUACAAGUCUUCCGUUAAAUCCACCUGCUUAACAGAUGGGCUGCGGAAGAUACUAUAGGGCUAGGAGGCGGGAGAGGCAAGCGGUACUCAGUGGGUAGGGGUAAAUCCUCUGAUCCAUUGAAGACCACCAGUGGCGAAGGCGGCUUGCCAGAACGCGCUCGACGGUGAGGGAUGAAAGCUGGGGAGCAAACCGG